rnacentral:misc_RNA from 1 species
GAUGAAGAACGUAGCGAAAUGCGAUAAGUAAUGUGAAUUGCAGAAUUCAGUGAAUCAUCGAAUCUUUGAACGCACCUUGCGCCCUUUGGCCAUUCCGAAGGGCAUGCCUGUUUGAGUAUCAUGAACACCUCAACUCUUCAUGGUUUUCCGUGAUGAGCUUGGACUUUGGGGGUCUUGCUGGCCUAUGGUCAGCUCCUCUAAAAUAAAUCAGCUUGCCAGUGUUUGGUGGGUAUCACAGGUGUGAUAACUAUCUACGCUUGUGGUUUUCCACCAGGUAACCUUCAGCAGUGGAGGUUCGCUGGAGCUCACAGAUGUGUCUCUCCUCAGUGAGGACAGCUCUUUGAAUGUUUGAUCUCAAAUCAGGUAGGACUACCCGCUGAACUUAAGCAUAUCAAUAAGGGAGGA